CCAUUAUGAUGCAAUGAUCUUCUACAGCCAAUAAGAAGCAGGCAGAAUGGAAUCAGAGUAACUCAGAAAUUUUGAGAAAGUGGAGGCAGCAGUCAUCUCUGAGGAGAAAGGUGGGGGGAGCUGGAGCAAGAGGAUUUCCGCGUAAUUCAUGGACCUCUAAGGCCACCAACGAUCAAACUGAGGAACGCUUUGGCCUUUGUUUCCUUGACUGAUACCAUGCAGAACCAAGUUGAAGACAAUGACUUGUCAGAGCAACUUGCUCUCCAUGAGUCUUGGAAGACCCCAUUCAGGAGAAUUAAUCAUCGUUUCACAAGAUGGUUUAGGAGAAAUUCCAUGGUUUAAUAUCAUGCAUGCUGCAAACACAGACCCAUGAACGGAUACAAUGACAUCUCCACAAUCAUCUUUUCCUCCUUUUUUGUGUUAUUCUAUUGGUUGUUGUCUAAUAAAGGCUUGCGUG